rnacentral:rRNA from 1 species
CCUGCGGAAGGAUCAUUAACGAGUUUUGAAACGAGUUGUAGCUGGCCUUCCGGGGCAUGUGCACGCUCUGCUCAUCCACUCUACCCCUGUGCACUUACUGUAGGUUGGUGUGGGCUCCUUAACGGGAGCAUUCUGCCGGCCUAUGUAUACUACAAACACUUUAAAGUAUCAGAAUGUAAACGCGUCUAACGCAUCUAUAAUACAACUUUUAGCAACGGAUCUCUUGGCUCUCGCAUCGAUGAAGAACGCAGCGAAAUGCGAUAAGUAAUGUGAAUUGCAGAAUUCAGUGAAUCAUCGAAUCUUUGAACGCACCUUGCGCUCCUUGGUAUUCCGAGGAGCAUGCCUGUUUGAGUGUCAUGGAAUUCUCAACUUAUAAAUCCUUGUGAUCUAUAAGCUUGGACUUGGAGGCUUGCUGGCCCUUGUUGGUCGGCUCCUCUUGAAUGCAUUAGCUCGAUUCCGUACGGAUCGGCUCUCAGUGUGAUAAUUGUCUACGCUGUGACCGUGAAGUGUUUUGGCGAGCUUCUAACCGUCCAUUAGGACAACUUUUUAACAUCUGACCUCAAAUCAGGUAGGACUACCCGCUGAACUUAAGCAUAUCAAUA